AAAUUGUAUGAUGUCAUAAUUUAUAUGGACAAGGGUUUCACAACAUCACCUGGCCCCUCUGACCUGGCCCCAUUUACAGUGUCACUGCACUGUGCAUGUGAUUAUUCAGGGUGAACCAAUGCAGGUGGAACUUGAUACAGGUGUGCUAUUGACAGCUAAUCUAGUAUUGUGAUUGCAAAAAAUUGUUAAUAAAAAAUCUUCAUAGAAGAAUUCUGUGCUGUUGGAAGUCCCUCGUACUUUCGAACUGAUGAGCAUAAAAAUGCUGUUUAAUGUUCCUCGUAAUUUUCAGCUCUAAGCUGGCAAAUUUAUUACGAGCUUAGCUACAUAUAUUUACAGCUGAAUCAUAUAUAUACAGGUCAUUAGCUACUGCUUUUAAUUGGAGUUAUACAUGCACUGCUAAAAUACAGUGCAUGUAUCUAGAAAUAUGGCUCCUGGAUAUGUUUUGGGGCUAGGAUAACUACCGUAUUCACCCAAAUUACCGGGACACUCUAUUCUAAGGGACACUUCGGACUUACGUAAUUUUUUUCACUCUAUAUUAAGGAACAACAGGAAAUGUAAAUAUUUUUAGACGUCCCGAUCUAAUUAGAACGAAAAAGAGCAUGCGCAAUGUGAGCGUGACCAGAAGGGGAGGGGCUGCUCGUUGCUUAGUACUUAUUAUAGUGCUAGUGGAGAAUGGCAACUCUAAAGGAUUUUUUUCCUCCUGCUCAGUUUGUCAGACAGUCUCCAGCUCCAACUGUUCACGCCAGACCUUCUGCUUCUAGCUGUUGCAACUUCUUCCAGGCCAUACUGGAAGAAAAAACGUCCUGUGGGCACACCUCGCAAAGUCAAUGUGCAAGUGGAUGCAACAACUGUACCUGGACCCGUAGUCACGGUAGAUCUAUACCUGCAACAAGUUCUCAUCCAGGUAUGCCCAUAGGUGUGUAUAAGAGUAGGGUUAAAAGCUAGUAUAAAAGAUAAUUAUACAGAGCUAAGUCCACCAGUCAAAAAAAUACAAAUAAUGUAUUCAAAUGGUCAAAAGUUAAAGGUUGCAAGACAAAAUGGCAUUCGUUGUGCUGCAAAACGUUUUGGUAUUCCUUCAUCUAAUGUAGAUGGUGGCUGUAAAAAAGGUGCCAUUAAAACCAUCAAAACUUCUAAGAAAGAACAGAAAAGGCCAAGGACGAAAGGUUACCUAUCCAAAUCACGUUGAGGAAAAAUUGAAGCAAUGGAUACUCAAAAAACGUGAUGAGAGUUUCAUUCCUGUAAGCACUACAAUGAUUAGAAUGAAGGCAAUUUAGCUAAUAAAGCCAUACUUAAGUGAUUUUAAAGCAUCUGAUGGUUUGCUAAGAAGAUUCUUGAGACGUAGUAAUCUUGUUUUACGUGCCAGAACAUCAAUGGCUCAAACUCUUCCUUCUGAUUUGGAGAACAAAAUUGCUCAAUUCCGACAGGCUGUUUACUGCGUAUUCUCAACUCCUGCACCGCACAUCUGACCAUGCGUGUACAAGACUCAUUCAGACUUUCAAACACGAGUGUAUUGGUUAUUCCAGGUGGGUGUACAUCAGUGCUCCAGCCACUAGCCUAACCAGCCUAACCCUAACCCUAACGCUCUAGGAAGACACGAAAAUGAAGUGAUCAGAGACAGUGUUGUCCAAAAAGAAAUUAUUGUUGAAGUGAGUCAAUGGGCUAUUGUUCUGAGAAUCGAAGUGACAAUGAUCCAUUUUCAAGCUCUGAUGAGUCAGCAUCUGAUCAUGAUACGCCAUUGCACAGUGAUGAUGAUAGUGACUCUAUCUGUUCACCUGACUUGGAACCCCUAUCAGGUAUUGAUUGUGACUGAAAACUGUAUAGGUACGUACCAGGUACAUUCUCCCAGCUCGAAGCUCACCACGAAUUGCAAUCGCUUGAUACUAGGGCGGAUUAUUAUGUGCAUGUUCAUCGAGCAAAAGGUUUUUGUAAAGCUAACGUCCUUCGCUAUGGCCCUGUUCAUCUGGUUUUGUACCCACUACGUUUUUAAUUUAGAGUACCAUAAAUACUGCGCAAAUGCUGCAAUGUUUUUCCAGGAAUUCAUUUUCGAGUUGCCGGAGGGUAACACAAAAAAAAGAAGCAAUGUUACUUAACUGUUGUCACGGAACUUUAUCGACUAGUAUCGAAGACUUAACUGCUCUUUUUUGUACAUGUAUGCAUUCCUGUCCGGCUUGCUAUACUUAUACAUAAUGAUUGAGUGUAUAAAUUUAUGGGAUCGUUUAUAAUGAAAACUGAGGUUAAUUCAAUAGGUUUAGUCGAUUGUUUUAACUAAAUUUUAGUGAUUAAAAGAUAAUUCAAAAUUUAAUAGUGAAGUUAGUCUUUGUUAUUUUAACUAAACUUGAUCGUAUAAUUUAUUAUGAUGACAGGUGAUUUAAUUCAUAAGUUUAGUCGAUUGUUUUAACUAAAUUUUAGUGAUUAGAAGAUAAUUAUUUAAUUCAAAAUUUAAUAGUGAAGUUAGUCUUUGUUAUAAAUAACGUGUUGGUUAUCUCAGUUUCAAGAGAAACAAUGAACAAAUUCCAUUAAAAUAACUAAUCUAUUACCCCUAUAUGCAAACAGCUUAUCAGCUUAUCACAGAGGAUGGGAUGGUUCAUAUGAUUGCAGAGGUGGAGGAUUUCCUCAAAGAAAUAUAUCCUCACAUUACAAGUCACGGCAGUGCUGAGGCCUCAUCCAAAGAGGAGAAUGAGGACAAAGCGAAACUUCCAGUCUUCACUCUAUUAGGUGAAAUAGCAGACUGAUGGGCUGAAAAGCAAACGCACGUAUGCUGAUGAAAACAAAUUCUGGUAUAAACACUCUCUUAACUAUUUUGACUUGGUCUCAACUACGGUAAAAUUAACCACGAAAUUGAUGGUAAACCACAUUUCAUACACACUCUUUUUAGAACACAGCAACAAAGGUCCCGGAGCGCAUAGGGUUUACUGUUAGAGGUUUCACACAGCCUUAUAGAGCAAUUUGACAAAAUAAUGUAGAGAAGGGGCGCUUCAUGUGGCUUGUACCAAGUGCCACCUCCAUACCACUUGAUGAUCUUCAGCGAAUUGACACCGAUUUCACUGCAUCAAUUGGUGAGAGCUCCAAAAGUAUGAGUAUAGCAACUACUUAGGUGACAAUUAAAUAGUAAGUGAAAUUGCUUCGCCCCUGUGCACUGUUCCGGGACAACUACGAUGAAGUUGAAAGCUUGAUGCAUGGAUGACCUCAUUACAGCAUAUACAAGUCAAGCCUUUAAAUCUUGGUGCAAGAAUGCUCUCCAAGUCUAAGGGGCAAAUACUGUGGCAUUUCAAAUUAGGAGAAUCCACAGAACAUACCAGAUGACAUUUCUGACUCUGCAAGGUGGCAAUCAACUUUGUUGAUGUAUGUAUCCAGCAUGCUGCACAUCUAGCUGGAAGGGGAGAACUGCACGAAGAGGUUGAAGCGUCCAGCUAGGUAAGUAAUGCAAUAACAUCCAGUUAGUUGUACCUCUGUUCUCUGUAGCCCCGCCGAAGACAAAAGACACAGAUGAAAAACAGGCCCGGCGGAACGUUUUGUAUUUAUGUUCAUGUUAAGUGGUGCUCCGAGGCUGAAUACAUCGCACUCUCGAGCGCUACACAAGAAGUGAUGUGGCUCAGUUCAGAGUUAAAUUGUGAACUACAGUUAUGCACGAGGAUAACCAGUCGGCAAUUGCACUGGCACAGAAUAUAUUCUGUGCCAGUGCAAUUGCCUAAAAAGUGGACAUCUGAAGCGCUGUCAUUCAUUUAUGAAACAUGUAAUCACUAGUAUGCUGUGUGUAUUAAUUAGACCAGCUUGACAAUCUGUGAGAAAGUGUUACCAUUUUAUUUCCAGAUAGGAGAUGACCCUGAUACAAUUGCUAGAUGCUACCCCCAAAAGUCUGCAACUCGUUUCUGUUGCUUUGAGGGACCGAAUUGAGUAAUAGCCACUCUGAAGGAUUUACCAAAUUGUGCUCAUCCAACAUUUGCGUGCUGCCUCUCUUUGAACAUCAAAAUGGACUCCUCCGCUCAAAUGUGUGUGAUUAUAAAUACUCUAUAUCGCGCAAAAUGUUUGAGGCACUUCAAGUGGAAUUGAAAAAAUUCUUUCGUUUUGUGCAGGGGCAGACUUAUCGAAAUAUUCCCAGUCCAAUCUUUGCACGAAUUAGUAGCUGGAAGAUCAUAGACGAACUCUUGGACUACUUCCUUGAUCUUCUGCGAAUAUUCGAUAAGUGCACGUCAGCAAAGCUGUAGAAAAUGAAUUAGCCUGUGUGAGAACUUUGUCAUCCACAAAAACGAACUUCAAUCAACUUGUUUAUACUUCACUACAAGUAUGUACAGCCAAGUUGCAAUCAUUCCAAACGAUAUAGUGUUGACUUCGAGUUUCCUGAGAAGCUGAUGCUGAGACCAGCCGAGCUGAGAGGUUUUCGUUCAGAGAAUUGGAAGAGGAUAUCUUUCUGUGGAAAACUGAAAGAACACUCACGAUGAGCAAGAAGGCAAAUUACAAUGAUAUCGAGUAAUUAGGAGCAGUACGCAAUGUCGUGUUGAGUUUAAAUCCAUUUUAGCAACCAAUUGAAUUCAGAUGGUAAAUAUAAUUAUAGCACAGUUUUGAAAUUCAUUUUGAUUCUAUCUGACAAUCAUAUGCAUUACAUCUCAAUAUACUGUAUAAAAGUCAGUGCAUUUUCAGAUAAAACCGGGAGGCCAACGUUGACCAUAUCUGGUGCUAUAUACCACUAUAGA